AAUAAACCAAUUUUUCACUUUUCACAUAUAAUUUUUAACUCUUCGUCUUAUUAAAAAAAAUUUACGGUUGAUAUUUUUAUUUUUAUUAGAUGAUAAAUCAUGAAUAGUUCUUUACGUGUGACUUAAUUUUUUUAAUUUUCUGAAAAUUUUUUAAAUAAGACGGACGGUCAAAUGUUGGACACGGAAACC
rnacentral:pre_miRNA from 1 species